UAGGGAAUCUUCCGCAAUGGACGAAAGUCUGACGGAGCAACGCCGCGUGAGUGAUGAAGGCUUUCGGGUCGUAAAACUCUGUUGUUAGGGAAGAACAAGUACAAGAGUAACUGCUUGUACCUUGACGGUACCUAACCAGAAAGCCACGGCUAACUACGUGCCAGCAGCCGCGGUAAUACGUAGGUGGCAAGCGUUAUCCGGAAUUAUUGGGCGUAAAGCGCGCGCAGGCGGUUUCUUAAGUCUGAUGUGAAAGCCCACGGCUCAACCGUGGAGGGUCAUUGGAAACUGGGGAACUUGAGUGCAGAAGAGAAAAGCGGAAUUCCACGUGUAGCGGUGAAAUGCGUAGAGAUGUGGAGGAACACCAGUGGCGAAGGCGGCUUUUUGGUCUGUAACUGACGCGGAGGCGCGAAAGCGUGGGGAGCAAACAGG
rnacentral:rRNA from 1 species